rnacentral:rRNA from 1 species
GCCUACGGCCGUGCCACUCUGGCUAUGCCCGGUCUCGUCUGAUCUCGGAAGCUGAGCGGGGUCGGGGUCCCUUUGGGAGACCUCCUGGGAGCAGCGGGUGCUGUAGGCU